rnacentral:rRNA from 1 species
CCUACGGGAGGCAGCAGUGAGGAAUAUUGGUCAAUGGGCGCAAGCCUGAACCAGCCAUGCCGCGUGCAGGAAGAAUGCCUAUGGGUUGUAAACUGCUUUUAUCAGGGAAUAGGUACUUGAUGAAUAAGCACCGGCUAACUCCGUGCCAGCAGCCGCGGUAAUACGGAGGGUGCAAGCGUUAUCCGGAAUCAUUGGGUUUAAAGGGUCCGCAGGCGGAUUUAUAAGUCAGUGGUGAAAGCCUGCAGCUCAACUGCAGAACUGCCAUUGAUACUGUAAGUCUUGAAUUCGGUCGAAGUGGGCGGAAUAUGACAUGUAGCGGUGAAAUGCUUAGAUAUGUCAUAGAACACCGAUAGCGAAGGCAGCUCACUAGGCCUGAUUGACGCUCAGGGACGAAAGCGUGGGGAGCAAACAGGAUUAGAUACCCUAGUAGUC